rnacentral:lncRNA from 1 species
UUUUUGUGGGAGGUCAGAAAGUUGCAUGGUGGGUCCUAAAGUGAUCCGAAUAUUUAAACCCUUGUUUAUUGUAUAAUUUGGUUCUAUGAUUUAACCCAGCACUGUCAGUUUAAAGACCUGGACAGCGUCUUAAGAAAGUCUGGUCAAUGAAACUUUGAAAGGCGUCCAACUGUCCCUAAAAAUAGCAAGUAUGGAUCCUGAAACCAUCGCCUUCUGUUUCCUUCCACUCUCAGUGCCGCAAAGAAGUGCAAUCCGUCAGGUGAUAAACACGUUUGAUGUCGCUUCUCUGUCAGCUCCAAGUUAGCAGAGUAUUAACCAGUAUUUCAAAGGGAAACCUUUGUGGUUCAAUUGGUGUUGAAAGCGCACAAAGUAAUCAGCAGAAUACUGGAGAAGUUUACUGCGUUUGUGGAAGACUGAACGAGGGCAAUUCAUCGGUCUUAUGCCUCUCUUCAUCGAUUAAACAGAGCUCUUAUCUCAUCACCUGGCACCUUUGUUUUGGAUUUGCCAAGAAUUUCCUAAAUCGAGAGUGGGUAUACACGACGGGUUUUAAUCUAAAUCGGGAUCUAUACAUCCAAACUGGGAUCUAUGAGCGGAAAAGUGGCUAAGCCUAAAGAAGAAAAGGAUGCUUCAAAGGCGGCACCCCGACUGCUGCAGCAUCCAAAUCCACUGAUGGUGUGACUGGAGGUGGAAAAAAAACAUCCUGUCUUGAUCUGCCAGACCCAAGUAAAUUAAAUAGCUGAAUAUGACUUGUAUAUAAAAGUUUUUUUUUGUACAGUGCCAUGUUUCAGUACUGUAGGUUAAAUUGUGCCAG